rnacentral:rRNA from 1 species
GAUGAACGCUGGCGGCGUGCCUAAUACAUGCAAGUCGAGCGAACAGACGAGGAGCUUGCUCCUUCGACGUUAGCGGCGGACGGGUGAGUAACACGUAGGUAACCUACCUAUAAGACUGGGAUAACUUCGGGAAACCGGAGCUAAUACCGGAUAAUAUUUCGAACCGCAUGGUUCGAUAGUGAAAGAUGGCUUUGCUAUCACUUAUAGAUGGACCUGCGCCGUAUUAGCUAGUUGGUAAGGUAACGGCUUACCAAGGCAACGAUACGUAGCCGACCUGAGAGGGUGAUCGGCCACACUGGAACUGGGACACGGUCCAGACUCCUACGGGAGACAGCAGUAGGGAAUCUUCCGCAAUGGGCGAAAGCCUGACGGAGCAACGCCGCGUGAGUGAUGAAGGUCUUCGGAUCGUAAAACUCUGUUAUUAGGGAAGAACAAACGUGUAAGUAACUGUGCACGUCUUGACGGUACCUAAUCAGAAAGCCACGGCUAACUACGUG